GUACCAUUGUGAGGACAUCUUUUCAGUAAUUCCUUGAGCCGAUCCCAAGCUUCAAACACAGUUUCAGAUUCAAGUUGUCCAAAGUUGUUUAUUUCCUUCUUCAUUCU